rnacentral:rRNA from 1 species
GACGUAGGGCGCGAGCGUUGUCCGGAUUUAUUGGGCGUAAAGAGCUCGUAGGCGGUUUGUUGCGUCGGCUGUGAAAUCCCGAGGCUCAACCUCGGGUCUGCAGUCGAUACGAGCAAACUAGAGUGUUGCAGGGGAGACUGGAAUUCCUGGUGUAGCGGUGAAAUGCGCAGAUAUCAGGAGGAACACCGGUGGCGAAGGCGGCAUCCUGGACCAACACUGACGCUGAGUGAGCGAAAGCCAGGGGAGCAAACGGG